GCCAAAUUUCUAGCCUCACAAACAACUAUAAAUCACAAUAAUUCUCUCCCUAAUUUUAAAACAUUUUUUUAAUUAAGUAAAGGCGAUAAAAAAAUUUCUUAGAGCAAUAUAAAUAGUACCGCAAGGGAAUGAUGAAAUAAAAAUGAAAUAAUUCUUAAGCAUAACAAAGUAAAGCUUCCCCCUUGUACCUUUUGCAUCAUGGUUUAACUAGUCCUCUUAGGCAAAAAGACUUUUAGUCUAAUCCCCCGAACCUAGGCGAGCUACUUUAAGACAGCUUUAUAGAGCCAACCCUUCUCUGUCGCAAAAGAGUGGGAAGAUCUUAUAGUAGUAGUGACAUACCAACCGAGCCUAGUGAUAGCUGGUUGCUUUUUAAAAGGAUUUUAGUCCAACUUAAAGUUAAACUCAUUCUAAAAAAUUAAACUUUAAAGUAAUUCAAAUAAGGUCCAGCCUAUUUGAAAAAGGAUACAACCUCUACCACUGGGUUACCUAUACCAUAUAAAAAUAAAGUAGGCUUAAAAGCAGCCACCUUAAAAAGCGUCACAGCUUAAUUUAAUAUUCUGUAUAAUCCCUCAAUUUUUCAUUAACCCCUCACCACCAAAAAGCAAUUCUAUACAUCUAUAGAAAAUUUUAUGUUAAAACUAGUAACAAGAAGCAGCCCUUCUCUUAAAUGUACCUGUAUAUCAACACGGACCCUCCAUUGAUAAUUAACGCCUUUAAACUUAUAGUAGUCCAUUCCCUACGAAAACCCCACUAAUAUCAACGUUAACCUAACACAAGAACAUUAAAAGAAAGAUUAAAAGAUAAAGAAGGAAUUCGGCAAACAUUAGCCUCGCCUGUUUACCAAAAACAUCGCCUUUUGUCUAACUAUAAGAGGUCAAGCCUGCCCAGUGACAUUGUUCAACGGCCGCGGUAUUCUAACCGUGCGAAGGUAGCGUAAUCACUUGUCUUUUAAAUGAGGACUAGUAUGAAUGGCUUCACGAAGGCUAUACUGUCUCCUUUAUUUAAUCAGUUAAACUAAUCUUCCCGUGAAGAAGCGGGAAUAAACCUAUAAGACGAGAAGACCCUAUGGAGCUUUAAACACUUCUAAACAUUUGACACCUGACAUUUCAACUUUCAGAAAACUUCAUUAAACCCAUCAAUUUGUUUUAAGUUUUAGGUUGGGGUGACCACGGAGAACAACCAAACCUCCACGUAGAAAGAACCUCUCUCUAAGCAAAAAGCUACAGCUUUACGCAUCAAUAAUACUGACCUUAAUUGACCCAUUCUUUGAUCAACGAACCAAGUUACCCUAGGGAUAACAGCGCAAUCCGCUUUAAGAGCUCUUAUCGACAAGCGGGCUUACGACCUCGAUGUUGGAUCAGGGAAUCCCAGUGGUGCAGCAGCUACUAAUGGUUCGUUUGUUCAACGAUUAAAACCCUACGUGAUCUGAGUUCAGACCGGAGCAAUCCAGGUCAGUUUCUAUCUAUAAAGAGUUUUCUCCAGUACGAAAGGACCGAAAAAACAUGGCCAAUAUUUUCGAUAAGCCAUUCAUUCAAAUUUAUGUUUUAAACUUAACAACCAAAAACCCUAGUAUCAAUUUUAAGACCAAAAAUCUUUUA
rnacentral:rRNA from 1 species